CCAGCCUUAGAGGUGUUGCAGGUGUGGCUGCUGUGUCACUUGUACAUCAGUAGGUGGCAGAGAGGAGGGAGAGGCUAUGUCUGUUUUAUGACCUCUGGAAA
ensembl:snoRNA Gm24349 predicted gene, 24349